UACAGAGGGUGCAAGCGUUGCUCGGAUUUACUGGGCGUAAAGCGUACGCAGACGGUGAGAAAGGUCGAAUGUGAAAGCCCCGGGCUCAACCCGGGAACUGCAUCCGAAACCAUUUCGCUAGAGUAUGAGAGAGGGAAGCAGAAUUCCUGGUGUAGAGGUGAAAUUCGUAGAUAUCAGGAGGAAUACCUGCGGCGAAGGCGGCUUCCUGGCUCAUUACUGACGUUCAGGUACGAAAGCGUGGGUAGCAAACAGG
rnacentral:rRNA from 1 species